AGCAGUGUAGUUUAGUGGAUAGACCAUGGGCUUGGGAGUCAGAAGGACCUGGGUUCUAAUCCCAGCUCUGCCA
rnacentral:tRNA from 1 species